AUGGUAAGCAAGGUUGAUAGCAAGACUUUGGGGCAUAAGAAUUCCAUCCCUCUUGAAUCUUAUCUCAAAUGGGUACGAGCUCGUGCCCAAAGUCUCAUAAUGUCAUAUCCUGCUAUUCUAUCAAUAGUUGUGAAGCCCGUUGCCGAAGGAGAUGUUCCCCAUACCAUUCUACAUCCUAACAUGCCUACCAACCUCGAAGAAUUGCAAAGAUCGUGGAUUCAACUCAAAGGGGGACCGAGACACCUUUGA